rnacentral:rRNA from 1 species
GUGGCAGCCGCCGCGGUAAUACGAAGGGACCAAGCGUUGUUCGGAAUUAUUGGGCUUAAAGCGCACGCAGGCGGACAGGUAAGUGUUUUGUGAAAUCCCUCGGCUCAACCGAGGAACGGCAGGGCAUACUGCCUGUCUUGAGGCAAGUAGGGGCACGUGGAACUCUUGGUGGAGCGGUGAAAUGCGUAGAGAUCAAGAGGAACGCCAGUGGUGAAAACGACGUGCUGGGCUUGUCCUGACGCUGAGGUGCGAAAGCGUGGGUAGCGAACGGGAUUAGAUACCCCGGUAGUCCACGCCGUAAACGAUGUCUACUAGGUUGCGGGAGGUCUGACCCUGUCGCAGCCGAAGCAAAAGUGUUAAGUAGACCGCCUGGGGAGUACGGUCGCAAGGCUAAAACUCAAAGGAAUUGACGGGGGCUCACACAAGCGGUGGAGCAUGUGGCUUAAUUCGAAGCAACGCGAAGAACCUUAUCCUGGGUUUGACAUACUUGGAUGCCCUCGUCGAAAGACGAGUAAGCUGCCUUCGGGUGAAACUUGUACAGGUGCUGCAUGGCUGUCGUCAGCUCGUGUCGUGAGAUGUCGGGUUAAGUCCCUUAACGAGCGAAACCCUUGUCGUUAGUUGCCAGCGCGUAAUGGCGGGGACUCUAACGAGACUGCCGGUGUUAAACCGGAGGAAGGCGGGGAUGACGUCAAGUCCUCAUGGCCUUUAUGCCCAGGGCUGCACACGUGCUACAAUGGUGUCGACAAACCGAAGCGAGACUGUGAAGUGGAGCAAAUCGGAUAAACGACGCCUUAGUUCGGAUUGUAGGCUGCAACUCGCCUACAUGAAGUUGGAAUCGCUAGUAAUCGCAGAUCAGCUAUGCUGCGGUGAAUAUGUUCCUGAGCCUUGCACACACCUCCCGUCAAGG